rnacentral:lncRNA from 1 species
GGCACUGCUGCCAAUUCCAAUGUGAAUGAGGCCACCCAACACAUCCACACAAGCUCCCAACUUGAGAGUGUCGAUGGGACACGUGUUCUUUGGUGGUGAUGGGGUUGGCACUGGUGUUGGUGGUGGUGGAGGAGGACAUGGUGUCUCAGUGGGUGGAGGAGGCUUAACUGGUACAACUGGGGUAGGUGUAGGUGUUGGUGGGCUUGGUGGUACAACAGGUGGUGAUGGUGGUGGCUUAACUGGUACAACUGGGGUAGGUGUUGGUGUUGGUGGGCUUGGUGGUACAACAGGUGGUGAUGGUGGUGGCUUAACUGGUACAACUGGGGGCUUGGGUACAUAGGGUGGUGGGGGUUGUACAACUGGGGGCUUGGGUACAUAUGGUGGUGGUGGUUGUACAACUGGGGGUUUGGGGAUGAAGGGUGGGUGCACAAUUGGGGGUUUAGGGAUAAAAGGUGGGUGCACGAUUGGGGGCUUGGGGAUGAAGGGUGGGUGCACAAUUGGGGGCUUGGGGAUGAAGGGUGGGUGCACAAUUGGGGGUUUAGGGAUGAAGGGUGGGUGCACAAUUGGGGGUUUAGGGAUGAAGGGUGGGUGCACAAUUGGGGGUUUAGGGAUGAAGGGUGGGUGCACAAUUGGGGGCUUGGGGAUGAAGGGUGGGUGCACAAUUGGGGGCUUGGGGUGGGGUGGUGGUUUGACAAUAGGAGGCUUGGGGAUGAAGGGAGGUCUCACAAUAGGUGGUUUGGGGACAGAAGGAGGUUUUGGUAUAUGGGGAGGAUAUACAAUGGGGGGUUUGGGGCCAUGAGGUGGCUUGGGUACAUGGGGUGGAUGAGGAUGAGGUGGCUUUGAUGGUGGCUUGGGAACAUAGGGAGGCUUUACAUGAGGGGGAUGGGGUGGUUUUGAUGGUGGUUUGGGAACAUAGGGAGGCUUUACAUGAGGAGGAAGAGGUGGUUUUGAUGGUGGUUUGGGAACAGAGGGAGGCUUUACAUGAGGGGGAUGAGGUGGGUGUUUAGGUGGUUUAGGGAUGAAGGGUGGCUUUACAUGAGGAGGCUGUUUGGGUGGCAAGUGUGGAGGGUAUGUUGGUGGUGGACAGUAGGAGUUAGCAAGAGAAGUGAGCAAACUACCCAAAUUCACAAUGAGGACUAAGAGCAAAGCCAGGGUAUAAUUCCCCAUGUUCAAAACUCCACAACCCUCAAAAGAGUUGGGUUGUUUAAGACCGGAUAUUGAAACCCAACACCAUGCAAAAGCCUUCUUAUAGAGAUAUGGUGAGACAAGUUGUGAGUGAGUAUGUACAUAAGAGAGAGAGAGAGAGAGAGAGAGAGAGAGAGAGAGAGAGAGAACACAAUCCUGUACCUUUCUUUGUGGUACCAACUAAAGAUAUAUAAAACUAUUAAUCUCUGUGCAUAAUUAAUUAAUUUGUCAAAUUGCCAAGAUGCACAUUGAAUUGAGGUCUCUCCAAACUCCAAACUUCAACUUGAUCAGUAUCAAAUUCACCACAAACAAAAGGGAGGAAUUGAGUCACUUUCUUCCUUUACAUUCAGAACCAAGUAGGGCACUGCAAUCACUGACUUAAACUGUAGACAAAAGUAUUCAGCUUUUAAGGAGAAAAGGAUCAAGAAAACGCGGUUUUGUGAUAGAGGCAAGUUUUAACAUGUAGUGAGAGCCUUGCAAGUGACUAUUCAACCCGUGAUUGAGGUUUUGAUGCCAAGCCACAUGUGAGGCUUUCAUUGACAACAUUUUCUUGCAUUAAAAAAUUCUAAGGGUACAAAAGAGGCCUUAGACUUUUUCUACUUAAAGCACAUGGUUUUUCCUUUUUUCAUUUUUUGGGGGUUUUCUCCCGAAUAGACGAGUCCAUUAAUGCUACAAUGUUUUAGUCUAAGAAAUAUUCCUAUAUGAAUAGACCGUACAAUUGUAUUUGAGUGUCGGUUAUCUUAAUUUAUUAUUUUUUAUAUAAACGAUAUUGUAUUUUAAUUUAAUCCAUACUAUAAAAAGAAUUAUUUAAAUUUAGAUACAAAAUAAAGAACACAUUUGUUCUAACUAACUUAAUUAAUCCUAUGUGUGCAAUUAUUUUUUACAAUUAAACAACUCGAUUUGAUGUAGGAAUUUUCCUUGUACAAUUUAACUUGCUCGCUUUGCAAUUUCAUUUCAAAAAAGUAUAUGCAUGGCCUAGCCAUCAUGUCUUUCAAAUCAACAGCUCAUCAUAGGGCAUCUUUUUAAAAUGAGGGUAAUGCUGGCUUCACAUGCAGCUGCACAAUAAUUUCAAGAAUUAUUAAUCGUACCUAGCAUUGUUAGCAAGACAUUUAGGGCUGUAAUUAUGUGAAAAGUGAUGUUCGCCGAAUCAAUUAUAUAAGGAGAACUUACUGCAAAACAACUCUGUGUGGAACCCAUCUACUUGUUCUUUGUUUUUUUUAGGUCUGAAGUCCAUCUACUUGUUCACUCCACGCCAUUGAAGUGUAGUCUAUCUAAAAUGGUAAGGGUGCCCUAGUUUAGGCGUAAGUACUAUGUGCAGGGUUUUGGGUUUUUCUUUGUAGACAAAAACCUAGAAGUAUCAUAUCUACAUUGUUCUGACUAUUAAAAAAUUAGACAAAGGGGUAAUGAUUAUGCCAAAAUGAAUUUCAACAUCACUUUCGACCGACAAAAUUUCAUUUGCUUAUAUCGAAGCUCGUAUUGAAAUUUAUUAAUUUUAACAAAGUUAGAAUAUGUCAUCUGUCACGUAAUUUGGUGAAUAAAUUUUAUCUUUCGGUGCCUCUACAAUAUUAAAGCAUCAAAUAGUGCAAAUCAUGACAUCUUAUUUCAACGUUCAUUAACAGACCUUCAUACAAUCAAGGCAUCGGAUGCAAGUAGGGUGGUAGAUUUUUUCCCCUUUUCAACCCAAUAAUAUGAGUUAAAACAAUUAUAUGUGGAACACAAUAACACCGCUUUAAUAAUUCUAUCUAAAAGGGUAUAUGCGACAGCUGGCCAAGAGGUAUAUUCCAUGUACACAAAAUGUUACUUUCAACUACAUGCCAAUAUUUCUACAGCGAAAAUUCCAAAUCAACAUGCAAAGGGAAAAUGAAAUGGGAUGUACUUGCUGUAGUGCCUGUUUGGAUAGAAAGAAAGGAAAAGAAAAGAAAAGAAAAUUCAUUUCUUGGAGAAACCAGAAAUUGAGUUUUUCGUCCUUAUUUUCGAAGUGUCGCAAUCAAGUUUUUUUGAUAUAUUGAUGAGUCAUCCAUUGUAGAAGAAAUGGCAUCCAUCAAAACCUGCCACCAUUAAAAUCCAUGCAAAUCCACUUGUUACAAUUAUAUGAAGUCACUUGUGCAAAGCGACAUAUGAAUUUAAAGGGCGAUAAAGCCGAUGUAAUAUAUGUAGGGUCAGGCUGAGACUACUUUGUCUCCAAAUCUUUAACCAAAUCUAAUUUAACACUAAUUAUUAUUGCUCACUACAUCAAGUAAGAAAGAUUAAUAGUAUUUUUCGGUGUGAAUGCAUAAACGUAUCUGUGGAUUCUUAUUAUUUCGAUGUGAGCUUACAGCUUAGCAUAUUAACCUCACUUCAUAUAAAAAUUAUCUCCAAUCCUGAGGUCUAACUUUAUAAAAAAAAAUGAAAAUGACUUUGUAGGUCCAAAUCAAAAUGCAACGUGCCGACAAACACGGACUUAGUCAAGUUGGUUAAAGUGAAUGUGCUAUUCUCACUUUGCAUUCGAUUUCAAAUUCCCCUCCUUAUGAUUUAGAUUAGAUCUAAGUAAAACAUUGCUUAUAUAUAAAAGCAAUAUGCAGCUGUAUGCAGAAGAUUUGGUUGAAUAAUUGCUCUAUAUAAAAUAAUAGGUAAAGUACCUUGAUUAUCUUUUUUCCAACAACCCUGUUCCCUAUAUCUGCCCAUUGUUUAUAUCAUAAUCAAUCAAUUAAUUGAUUAACAACACCAAAUUCUUGAUACCUUCAGCAAAGACACGAUAUUUUCUACCCAAUUUAGUUUGUCGUUUGAAGAAAAAGAAGAAGGAAAAAAAAAACAUUUAGUUUGUCAGAUCAUAUCUUAUAGCAUGAGUGUUAUAUUUAAAACUAUAUAAGAAGGGGCAAAAUUUGGACAUACUUGGAUCAACUGUAACAAUCAUGGCAGUCCCUCCAAAAUCACAAGUGCCACCGGCAGCCCUGGUGCUCUGCCAGUAGCUGUUGAAGGCGUACGAAGCGUGGGACAACAAUGUGUCUGGUUUAUAGCAGGACCCAUUGGGCUGGAUUGACUUGCAGUCUGCACCAGACCCACACGCAUAGUCCAGGGCCUCUUGGACUAUUGGGCCAGGCACGGCUGGCUUGGCCACACACCACACCGCGCCAGACUGUGGUGGCUUUUUUCGUGGAGGGCUUGUGGGCCCUGAUGGUGGAGGGUAAGCUACAGGUGGGGCCAAGGCUGGUGGGCCUGGGAUAGGCUUGGGUGGGGAUGGAGGAUUUUUGGGUGGGCCUGGAAUUGUGGUGGGUGGGCCAGGUGGGUGAGGGGUGGGCCCAUUUGCAGGUGGUGGUUUUGGGAUGGGUGAGCAAGUGGGUGCAGAAGAUGAAGGGGAGGAGGAAGAUGAAGGAGUAUUUGGUUGAGGUGGGUUUUGGGAAAAUGGUGGAUUUGCACAGUAUGGAGGAAGAGGAACAUUUCCAGGCAAGGGAAGUGGUGCCAGUGAAUCAAAGGGUGGGAAAGAGAAGGGAGGACUUACCUCUAGUGGCUUAACAUUUGAGGAAGGCAAUGGUAAAUCUAACUCUAAGUGAUUUAUUGCUUUCAGCUUCUUCUCUAAUUCUGUGUCUUGGGAUUUUAAGAAUUGUGCAAAAAUUCUUGCAUCUGCUCUAAAACAAAGUCACAUAAUAAGUUGUUAAAAUUGUUCAAGUAGUGUGUCUUUGGAAAACCCAAAUAAAUAAAUAAAUUCUUGCUUACCACAUAAAAUGGAGAAAGUUGUGAAUGAAAUGGAGAUGAUGGCCAAUCUCAUGUAAGACAUUGUGGGCUGCAUCUCUUGAAAAGCCAAUGUGAUUAAAGGCAAAAUACCCAGAAGAAGCUGACUGAAAAUUUUGUGCUUAUUUAAUUCAUCCCUCAAGCAAACACUUGGGAUAAGUAUAUAUAGGCAGAUGCUUAGGCAGGCCAGAGAUGUGUGGGAGUGGUAACAAAAGGCGGUGGCCAUAAAGGAAAAUUAUCAACAUAGAGAGACUAAAGGAGAUUCCUGUGUCACAACUUUGUAGCCUAAGACUCAAAAAUAGUGUAAGAUAUACAACAUGCAGAGGACAAAGGUGAGGGAGAGAGAGACUAGAGAGUGUUGGUUUUGGAGAGGUGUACAAGAAACUUUUCUCCCUUUUUGCAUCUUCCUUUGAAUAUAUUCUUGCUUGGCAGUGGAGAAAUAUGAACAGUGGAGUUUUCUGCACUUUUAUUUGCUUGCUUUCCACUCAAAGUGAAACAAACUUCCACUCUGUUAAAGUAUAAGAGAUUUAGCUGAGUUUGUUACUUAAAUUAUGAGCCUUUGGAUCACAGUCCAAAUGGACAGCUAGGAUGUAUUCUUAGGUGUAGUUGAUUUGUGCCAAGUGUAGCUAUCUCAUAGGGUAGUUAAUGAUUGGUUAGAUUUGCUGAUGUAAGAGAGAAUAUUCUUUUCUUUUACUGUUAUAUUGGUAUGCACAGAUUGUGCAUGACUAAGUGUGAGAAUACAAUCUGAUAUUUUCAUCUUCUUCUUCUCCACGUUUUCUCUCUACAUUUUACUAGAGCUCCAUUCACCUAUAAUCCAAAAACAUGGCAGAUCAUAGUCUGCAAAUGCUAACAUGGUAUCACUGAGCCAGGUUUGAUCGUUUAGCUGGGCGUUUGAAUCUGUGAAGGAAGUGAGCUGCGUUUUCUAUCAAAUCUUGCUCUCUGUGAAAUCUGUGUCUAACAUGGCAGGAUCUGGAGGUGGUGAGCUGCGUGCUCCAAUCUUCAAUGGUGAGAACUAUGAAUUCUGGAGCAUAAGGAUGAAAACCAUUUUCAAAUCUCAUGGGAUUUGGGAGCUGGUUGAGAGAGGAAUAGAAGGCUCAGAUUCGAAGGGAGCUGAUGAAUCUGAUACAAAACAAAAGGAAAAAGAGGAAUCAAGUGGUUCUGGGAAGAUGGCUAUAGCUGAGAUCCUGAUGAAGGAUGCUAAGGCCUUGGGGUUGAUUCAAGGAGCAGUAUCUGAGGUGAUCUUCCCCAGGAUUUCUCAUGAAGAAUCAUCUCAUGGAGCCUGGAACAUCCUGAAGCAGGAAUUUCAUGGUGAUAAGCAGGUAAGAAGUGUAAAACUGCAGGGACUUCGUAGAGAAUUUGAAUACACUAGAAUGAGAGAGGAUGAAUCUCUAUCUGCUUAUCUUACAAAGUUGUUUGAUCUAAUAAACCAAAUGAGAGGUUAUGGGGAAGAACUAUCUAGAGAAAGAAUUGUGCAGAAAAUGUUAAUUAGUCUGCUGCCUGGAUAUGAUCCAAUCUGUUCUGUGAUUGAACAUUCAAGGGAUCUAGAUGUAAUUGAGGUUCAAGAGGUGGUAGCCUCAUUGAAGAGCUUUGCUCAAAGGUUGGAAAGACAUCAUGAGAACAAAACUGAGAAGGCCUUUGCUAGUCUGAGUACAGAUACCAAAUCUGCUAAGGCCACUGGAAAUCAGAAUUCCAAGCAGCAGAAGACUUGGAAAGACAAAGGGAAGAAGUGGGAUAAUAAACCUACGGAUGGAACUAAAACUCCUUGCAAACAUUGUGGGAAAUUGCAUUAUGGAGAAUGUAGGUUCAAGGGCAAACCAAAGUGCUAUAACUGUGACAAGCUUGGUCACAUUGCCAAAGACUGCUAUAGCAAGAAACCUGAACAGCAGCAGCAGCUUCAGUUUGCUACUCAGGUUACUUCUUCACCAACCAUGUUCUAUGCUAACAAUGCAACUGAGAAAAGGUCCAUGGAAGAGGUAUGGUACUUGGACAGUGGGUGUAGUAACCACAUGACUGGCAGAGAAGAUGUUUUGAUUGAUAUUGAUAGGAAUGUGACUGCAAAAGUUGCUAUGGGAACAGGACAGUUGGUUGAUGUUAUUGGAAAAGGAAGCCUGAUGGUUCAAACUAAAAUGGGAAGGAAAUAUAUCAAGGAGGUGCUAUUGGUAUCUGGUCUCAAAGAGAACCUACUCAGCGUUGGACAAAUGAUGGAGCAUGGAUAUUUCCUAAUUUUUGGAGAUAAUAAGGCAGAAGUCUAUGAUGAUAGCUCUCUUUCAAAUCUAGUGGCUAGAGUGGAUAUGAAAGGAAAUAGAAGUUUUCCUUUGAAACUUCAAACAGAUUUACAUAUUGCUCUAACUGCAAGCAUUAACCAAUCAACCUUGCUUUGGCAUAGGAGAAUGGGGCACUUAAACUUGCAGAGUUUGAAACUGCUGCAGAAUGAAGACAUGGUGUUUGGUCUGCCAGAAAUCAAAAAUACAAAUGCAGUGUGUGAAGGCUGUACUUUUGGAAAACACUGCAGGAAGGCAUUUCCAAAAGAAGCAACCAGCAGAGCUACAUCUCCACUGGAAUUGGUACACACUGAUGUGUGUGGACCAAUGCAAACUGUUACCAAAGCAGAAAACAGGUAUUUCCUCACCUUUAUAGAUGACUGUACAAGAAUGUGCUGGAUCUAUUUCUUGAGAUGCAAAUCUGAGGUAUUCACAGUGUUUAAGAGGUUUAGAGCCACUGUUGAAUUGCAAAGUGGAUAUAAGGUGAAGAAACUAAGAAGUGAUAGGGGAGGAGAGUACACCUCUAAUGAGUUCAAUAAAUUCUGUGAUGAAAUGGGAAUGGAGAGGCAGCUUACAGUGGCAUACUCACCACAGCAGAAUGGUGUGGCUGAGAGGAAAAACAGAACCAUAGUGGAGAUGGCCAAGUGUAUGAUGAUUGAGAAGGGCAUGCCACUUGAGUUUUGGGCAGAAACUGUUAAUACUGCAGUGUAUAUUCUAAACCGAAGUCCAACUAAAGCUCUGGACAAGAAAACACCAUUUGAAGCCUAUAGUGGGAGAAAGCCAGGACUUAAACACUUAAGAGUGUUUGGAUCUUUGUGCUAUGCACAUGUUCCAAAUCCACAGAGGCAGAAACUGGAUUCAGCAAGCAACAGAUGUGUGUUUCUAGGAUAUGGCAGCUGUGAGAAAGGGUAUAGACUGUAUAACAUUGCCACUGAAAAGGUGAUUAUCUCAAGGGAUGUGGUAUUUAAUGAAGAAGCUAGCUGGGAUUGGAAUGCAAAGCAAGAAUGCAGUGUUUCAGUGCCAUUUACUGAAGUUGUGUCUGAAAAGGAGAAAGGGAGCAAUGACACAGCUGUGAAGCAAGCAGAACAUUCAGUUGAGAAUGAAUUGCUAACAGAAGACAAUGAAGAAAGAUCUGUGGUUGAUACAGGUACUCAAGAUAUUGACCACACUCCAUUGAGAUACAAAAGUCUUACAGAGAUCUAUGAAAGCUGCAACAUCUGCAUCAUUGAACCAGAAUCCUUUGAAGAAGCUGUCAAGGAUGCAGCAUGGCAAAAGGCAAUGGAAGCAGAACUUGAGAUGAUAGAAAAGAAUGAAACUUGGGAUUUGGUAAAAAGACCAUCUGAUAAACCUAUAGUUGGUGUCAAAUGGAUCUUUAAAGUCAAGCUAAAUCUGGAUGGUUCUGUUCAGAAAAACAAAGCAAGGCUAGUAGCUAAAGGCUACACUCAAAAGCCAGGAAUUGAUUUCAAUGAGACAUUUGCACCUGUUGCUCGGCUUGACACAGUUAGAACACUGAUUGCUCUGGCUGCUCAGAAAAGGUGGAAACUGUUUCAGCUUGAUGUAAAGUCAGCCUUCUUAAAUGGAGUGCUACAAGAGGAGGUGUAUGUGGAUCAACCUCCAGGAUUUGUGGUUCAAGGCAAGGAAGACAGAGUUUAUAGACUCAAGAAGGCUCUUUAUGGUCUCAAACAAGCUCCAAGAGCUUGGUAUGAAGAAAUUAAUUCAUACUUUGCUGCUGCAGGAUUUCAGAAAAGUCCUAGUGAGGCUACAUUAUAUGUGAAAGCUGCAGAAAGUGGAAUCCUAAUUGUUUCACUAUAUGUAGAUGAUAUCAUCUACACAGGAAGCUCUAAAGAAUUGGUGAUGAGUUUUAAAACUGAAAUGAUGAAGAGAUAUGAAAUGACAGAUCUGGGAUUGUUGCACCAUUUUCUGGGAUUGGGUGUGAUACAAGCUGAGUCCUACAUCUUCUUGCAUCAGAAGAAAUAUGCAAGAACACUGUUGGACAAGUUUGGUUUAAAGGACUGUAAAGCAGUGUCAACUCCACUUGCUAUGAAUGAGAAGUUAUCCAAGGAGGAUGGAAGUGAACAGGCUGAUGAAAAGCUGUACAGACAGAUUGUUGGAAGCUUACUAUAUCUGACUGCAACAAGGCCAGAUAUCAUGUUUGCUGCAAGUCUCUUAGCAAGAUACAUGCAUGGACCUACUAAGAAACAUAUGGGAACUGCUAAGAGAGUACUUAGAUACAUUCAAGGUACUCUAGACUAUGGCAUUGCAUAUGAGAAAGGAAAAGAGGCAAUGCUGGUUGGAUAUUGUGACAGUGAUUGGUCAGGCUGUGAAGAUGAUAUGAGGAGCACAUCUGGCUAUGCCUUUCACCUUGGAUCAGGUGUUUUCUCUUGGGCAUCUGUUAAGCAGAGCAGUGUAGCUCUAUCCACUGCAGAGGCAGAAUAUGUUAGUGCAGCUGAAGCUACAGCUCAAGCAGUCUGGUUAAGGUUUGUUCUAUCUGAUUUUGGUGAAGAACAAGUUGAGGCUACAACAAUCCUAUGUGACAACACUUCUGCAAUAGCAAUAACAAAGAAUCCUGUGCAUCAUCACAGGACAAGACACAUAAGCAGAAGGUUUCAUUUCAUCCGAGAUGCUUUGCAAAAUGGUGAGAUUGAUCUGCUAUACUGCAAAACUGAUGAGCAGAAUGCAGACAUCUUCACUAAGGCUUUGGCAAGGAAUAGGUUUGAAUAUCUAAGGAGCAAGCUUGGAAUUAUUUCAGCUAAACACUUAGAAGGGAGUGUUAAAGUAUAAGAGAUUUAGCUGAGUUUGUUACUUAAAUUAUGAGCCUUUGGAUCACAGUCCAAAUGGACAGCUAGGAUGUAUUCUUAGGUGUAGUUGAUUUGUGCCAAGUGUAGCUAUCUCAUAGGGUAGUUAAUGAUUGGUUAGAUUUGCUGAUGUAAGAGAGAAUAUUCUUUUCUUUUACUGUUAUAUUGGUAUGCACAGAUUGUGCAUGACUAAGUGUGAGAAUACAAUCUGAUAUUUUCAUCUUCUUCUUCUCCACGUUUUCUCUCUACAUUUUACUAGAGCUCCAUUCACCUAUAAUCCAAAAACAUGGCAGAUCAUAGUCUGCAAAUGCUAACACACUCUCUCUCUCUCUCUCUCUCUCUCUCUCUCUCUCUCUCUCUAUAUCAGGCUCUACAUUUCUCAGGAAGCUAUUAACUUGUUAUUAAAUGGUUCCUUGGGAUUAAUAUUCCAAAAUAGUUUGACAUCCUUUCCAGCCUUAGCAAUCAUAUUUCACACACUAAUGCAUGUUUUUCAGCUUGAUGUGGUAUUAGUUGACUUCAAUAUUACAGAACUCUUGGUUCAUGCUCAUCACUGAACCUGAAACCUAGGAGUUUUUGUUUGGGAAUGUAACCAGGAAGAUCAAAAUAUACCAAACUUGGGAACGAGAGAGGUGCAUAAAACUUUUGCUCAUCAUCAAAGCUAAAUGUGUCAUCGUAGUUUGAGCAUAUUUCUUACUCUCUAUAUAUUUCAUUGCAGACACACAAGACUUUCAGUUUUAACUAAGAACAACUAAAAAGCCCACAUGAACUCCUUUGCUAGAAUUUGCUGAAAAAGAAAUUGUAAUCUUCAUUAAGCAGGCUUACAUAGGUAAAUAAAUUGUGUAGCUCUUAUUCUUGUUAUUAACUGUUAAAUUAAAAUCUCCAUGUCAUCCUGUUUUUUUUUUUUUAACUGUUUGGCAACACCACUUUGCCAUCCAUAAACUAUAACUAUUCUUCUCCCUAAGGGAAUUUUAUUAGGAAAUUACCCAUCUGGUAUGUAAAUCAUGUUUCAGAGUUCACAUUUAAACACAACCUUUAAACUUGGACAAUAAAUUAUAGGACCGUUGCCAACAACCCGACGCCAUCUAUAACAAGUGUGGCUUGAACUGUUCUUGAAUUUAGAAAGCAAAUUUAAGAAGCUCCAUUACUUAGCAUGUAAGUUUUGUUUCCGAGUUCAAUUGGAAAAAAUUAUGCUAUCGUUGGCAACUGUCCCUUGCCAUCUAUAACAAUCCAGGCUUGAACUUUUGUUGAAUUUAGGAAGCAAUUUAAUUAGCUUCACUACUCAAAAUGCAAAGGAUGUUUUUAAAUUUCAAAUUCAAACAUUAGGAAGCAAUUGAAUAAAUUAUGUGGCUGUUGCAACGGUCCCCUGCCAUAUUCGAUAUCUACCAUGUUUAUCAUUUAUGACCUGAAAAGGCAUAACAGGGCAACUAAGCUGACUCUAGUAUAAAUCUGCUCAAUUGUUCAAGUUAUCCAUCAUAUUGUGUUUGCUAAACCACAGCCUUAUUCAGGACAAUAAGAAAUAUGGCUGCAGACCCUUCCCCAAGGAUGCUAAUCACUCAUAAGGGACCCUGUGUCCGCUACAUUGCUUGGACUCCACUCUUGAAUGGUUUCUGGAAGCUCAGCUUCACAGGUCAUUACAAGCACGAAUCGAAGACUACUUCAGUCGGCUGCAUUUCUGAGAGAUCACAAUGCUGUAUUUAAAGCUGCCUUUGCGCAACAUGUAGAAAUGGUCAGCAGCUUUACAAGGGCUCAGUCGACUGCAGUCAGCUGGGCCCUUGAAUUAGCUAAAGGUGAAGGUGUCGAUUACCUUGAAAUCGAAGGAAAUCAUCCGUUUGUGUUUCGGAUGAUGUGGGGCGACAUCACCAGAACUAGCUCUAUGAUCAGGGGCUUGUUAAUAAAUGCAGAUGUGAUUUAAGACAGAUUAGGAGUGUGAGGCUCCGACAUGUCAACAUGUAUGGUAAUUUGGCUGCGAACUUGCUUGCGAGAAUUUCUUUGCAGCCUCAACAAGAGAGGUCAUGGUUUGGUGACCCUCCGGAAGAAAUAAAUGGAAUUCUAGUGAGGGAUGUGAUCGGUCGUUGGAUCGCUUUCUCGGACCUAUGAGUGAGUCAUCAUUUGGAUGACACAGAAGGACUUCGUGGAUUUCUUUCUUCAAGGAAAAAUCUGUUAAGUUGCUUUUCUUUUUGGUUAAGUAGCAGUUUGCACAUCUUUUAUUUUCAGAAAUGAAAUAUUUUGGAUUAGUGAUGAUUGUGAAGCCCUUGAUUUUUCUAAUCUCUUCCUUAAAGAAUUAAGAUGUGUGAACAUGUAACUACUAAGAACAAAAGUCAUCUGCUUAAUCUCACAUUUCAUUUUCAUUUUCUUCCUUUGUAGUUUAAUUGUAUUCCCUGACCUUUCCGGUACUGACCAUGACCCCUAUCUAUCAAAACCAAGUUCAAAUAAGGGAGAAUUUUUAAGGAGAUAUAUUGAUGACCUUGGGUGGAAUUUUUUCUUAGUAAAACUUUUAUGUGGUUUUACUCAAUAAACAAGUUACUCGUUUUACUCGACUUGAAUUUUUGCCUAUUUUGUCUAGAAUCAAUUACGUUUGAUGAUGAAACCAAUUACCAAAUAGUUCUUAAUCUAGUGAUACUUCUCUUCUCAACAAGUUACAAGGAUUCCGAACUCAAUUUAAUCACCUGUAGAAAUUACUUUGUCGCUGACAUGCCCGUGUGCCUUCAAAUGUUGAGGUCCAUUAGAAAGUGACCGUGCCUUUUAUCAAUAACAAACCCACAUGCCCAACUUGACCAACAAAUAAUAUUUUAAUAAAGUAACCGGUGCCUUUUAAGAAUGUAUUGUGGGAUGAAUUAAUGAUCUACCACAAUUAAAUGCAUUUUCAAAUAGCGAAAUAUUACAACAUCGCAGAGAGGUAUUGCAUGAUCUACCACUCUAGUUAUUCUGUUGCUGCAGUGCAGUGCAAUGCAGGUGUACAACUUAUUGUUCAACAGAAAACACAAAAUAACUUAACUUGAACUAAGUCCAUAAUAUAAAAAAGAUGAAGAGGCCAUGGACUGGAAACUCUGGAUCCAGAUGAUGUAGGGAUCAAGGGGUGUAUGGCCUUGGAAUAAGAUACAGAGGAGCUUUCUUAUGGACUGUGAGUCCGAACACUUCGGUCAUGUUCAAUGUGUCAGCCAAUUUAGUACCACCACUAGGCAACUUCCAAUCGAACCAAAACAGUAGGUUGGCAAGCACAUAUUCAGCUGAAGCAACCGCAAAGGCCAGUCCGGGGCACACCCUUCUUCCACCACCAAACGGGAGGAGUUCGAACUCUUGACCUACCAAACCGAUGGAGUUCUGCUCAAACCUCUCUGGCAUAAACUCUUCUGGCUUGUCCCAGACUCUGCGGUCUGUUUGUAUUGCGAAUGCAUUCACAAACACUUGUGUUUUCGCAGGGAUGUCGUAACCUCCCAAUUUUACAUCUGCAGUUGUUUCACGAGGAAGUAAAAGAGGACCUGGAGGAUGAAGCCUUAGAUUUUCGGUGAUUACACAUGACAAGUACUUCAUUUCCUUGAUGUCACUCUCGUCUACAUAUCCCCUUUUCCCCGCCACUCUUCUUACUUCUUCUUGGACUUUCUUCAUCACCCGUGGAUUUUGCGAAAGCUCAGACAUUAACCAUAGCAUUGAUGUCCAACUAGUAUCACUUCCCCCAACAAACAUGUCCUAAAUCAUGAAAUUAAAUAGCCAAAUCAAUCUUCAUCCAUAUAUAUUUUUAUUAGAAAAUUAGACGUAAAACCAAAAGUAUUAGGGUUUAUCAAUGUGCGCGUGUGUGUGGGUAUGCUCGUGCCUGUUCAAGAUAAAGUAAGUGAAUGAGUAUAAUGCGAGUAUGUAAGCUAGAGAGGGGGGGAUAUAGACCUGCAUAAGUCCUUUGACAUUGAACUCAAAAUCGAGCGAGCCAUCCUCUUCAAGGUCGAGGAGUAAAUCCACAAUAUCCUUCUUACGAGGCUUACCAUCUUUCUGCGCUGCUUUAUGUUCGUCAAGCAACUUAUCAUAAAAUCCAUCCAAUUCACGUCGAAUUGAUUUCAAACGUGCAAUGUAGCCUCUGGCAUGGUCAACCCAUUUCAAAGAAGGGUAGAAAUCUCCAAAGCUGAAAGUCAUCAUCUGAACCAUCAACUCCUUUAUGACCUUUUCAAACCAAUUGUCUUCUUUGUCCUCAAACUUCUGUCCAAGAACGCACCUACAGAUGAUGUUGUUGGAGGUUGACACCAGCAGCGGCCCCAGAUUGAUGGGAGCCCCGUUUGUGCUGGCGGAGGCUUUGCGAAUCUUGCUGACCAGCUCUGCACAUUCUUCCACCCUUGCGUACUGAAACUGCUGCACUCUUUUCACGCUCAGAAGCUCAAGAACAACCACUUUUCGAGCUUUUCUCCAGUACUCCCCGUAAGGAGCAAACGCAACGUUAUAGCCGUUGAAGAACAAUAUAGUUGCAGCUGUAGUUUGAGGCCGGCCAGAGAAACCAAUGUCUUGGUUCUUCAUCAUGUCCUUGGCCAGUUCUGCAGAUGAAACUACCAGCGUUGGAAGUUUGCCAAAGUGCAUGAGCAUUAUAUCACCAUACUUCUUCGACAGAUCACGAAGAGAGCGGUGUGGGAAUUUGCCUAGCUGGUGAAGGUUCCCAAUCAGAGGCAGUGUUGGUGGGGAAGGUGGCAGUUCGUAGUUUUUCCCACUUGAAGAUGAUCUUGUAAGUGAUAACAAAAUGUAUGCAGAAAGCAGGAGAAGAGGAAGCAGGAAAAUAUUGCUCUGAAGCUGUUGCCACAUUUCAUUGAAAAGUGAUAAUGCAGCCAUUGUUCUACUUUUUGCCUUUUGCUUUUGGCUGCUCACAUUAAAUUAAUAUAUGUGCCCUUCUUCUUCUUCUUUGUAUAGAGAAGCUGGCAUUGCAACUUGCAUGCGCCUACAAGGUUAGUUGUGAUCAACUUGUGAUGUCCAUGCCCCCCAAUUAUUUAAUGGGAUGCUUCGAUAUGGGUUCAUUUUUGAGUUUGCACUAUGAAUUCAGUUUAUCUUUCUUUUGAUGUAGAAUUGGGUCCAGCUCAGGCCAGCCAAGUAUGCAAAGCCUUGGCCAUUGUACAGUCAAUCCUCUGAAUUUUAUUAAUUACUGCAAUCAAUAAAUUAAUAUCACAUCUCUACGAUUAAUCUCAAUUUAUUAAAUGCUUUCAAUCUUUGAAUACCUUAUGAUGAGGUAUAUAUGUCUUUGGGUGGUUUGAUUUACCUGCUUUGCAGGUUUGUGUAUACCUCUUUCAUAGGUAAUUUCAUAUCAUAUAUCUCCUCCAUAGGUAAUUAAUAUAUACUUCCUCCAUAGAUAAAUAGCAUUCAGAUGUAUACCUCCUCCAUAGGUAAUUUACCUAUCCAUACCUAAUUAACAUUCAUGUAUAUUCCUAGUCCAUAGAUAAUUAUACCUCCUCCAUAGGACUACAAGAAGAAAAAGAAGGAAGAAGAAAGAUUGUGGGAAAUUUAGUUAUUUAUUUAUUGUAUCAGGGCAUGUUUAUGGGAUUUUCAAAAUUAAAAUGGAUGGACAAGAAAAUAUUUUAUAAAUUCAAAUCAUAAUUAACUAAAAGGUCAAAUAUAGUAAUUAUUGGCCUAAGAUUAAUUUCUCACUCUUUUAUGAAUUGCAAUCAGAAUCAAUAGUUGUAUUAAUUAGCUAAUUAUUAUGAUAUAAAUCAAUCUUCCCAAUUUAAAUCAUAAGGCAUAAUUGGAACAUGAAAAUAAAUGUAAAAAUAAAAAAUAUAUAUGAUUACAUCAUAAAAUUAGAAAAGGAAUGUAAUCCUAUGUGGCAUUAGAAGAGGACUUGGAUUACUAAUAAUACGUGUGUGGAUUGCACCCAAAUUCUACCGGAGAAAUUAUAGAAUGAUAUGGUAGUACCAUGUCAGCGUAUAGUACUCCCAUUUAAAUACAGCCACAUGUCCAUUUUAGAAAAGAAAUUAAUUACGUUUCACAACUGGACUUUUUAGUUUAAUUCUUAACUUUGGAAAUAAAAUUAGAAAAGAAAAAUUAAAAAAAGAAUUUCCUAACAGCCAACUAUCUCCUAACCCAACAACAACCCUAAUCCCAACUACCUGCUAUGAUGGCCACCCCUCUCCUUCCACUAUCUUCACCCCUGAUACUAAUUGUAGACAAGGGAUUUUAGAGGAAGGAGGAUUAAACUGGUAUUGAUGAUGAUGAAAUGGAGUAGUCUUGAUAAUUAAAAAUUGGUUCGUUCUUGAGGGUCUAUAUCUGGGUCUGAAAAUAUUCCAAGGUGGCAGUGGGUUGAAUUAACAUUGUGUAGAGUGUCAUAAGCGAAUUCAAAAAAAAUAUAUAUAUAUAUAUAUAUAUAUAGGGGAAUUAAGGAAGAUGAUGAUAUUAUUGGGUUUGGAUGUUGAUGGUUUUCAUGAGGAGCGGCGAUGGCAGUGGUGAAUAGAAAGAGAGAGGGGAGGAAGAGGAAGAGAGAAGGGUGGCUGCCAUGGUUUUUCUUCGUUUAAGUUUUCUCUUUUUCUAAUUUUAUUUCAAAACUUAAGAAUUAAUAAAGUAAAAAGUCUAGCUGUAAAAUAAUAAUGAAUUUCUUUUAUAAAAUGGACACAUGGCCGUAUUUGAGUGGGAGUACUAUACGCUAAUGUGGUAGUACCAUAUUAUUCUAUAAUUUCUCUAUUAUUAAGAAUUGGACUUAUACCAAAUUAUUUAUUAUUUAAUUAUAUACAAUAUUGAGAGAACUUGUUAGGUUCGUAACUUCACGGCCCUCCUGAAAUGAAUGUUGGGAAAUUACAUAAUGCAUUAAUUGAGCCGUUUUUACCAAAAUAAGGUGUCUUCCAAUUUUAGGUUUUAGCCUAGUUUCUUGUAUAGUUUUGUCUUUUUUAUUUUUAUUUAGUUACGUGCUUCAAUUAUUUUAUUUUUUUAUUUAUAUAAAUGAUAUUGAGGGAGGGUUUUUUCACACAUUGUAAUAUAUUAUGAGAAUUCGAACCUGAGACCAUUGAUUUGCAAGUUAAUGUCAUUUUCCACUGGGUUAGAUCUCCCUAAACCCUAUAAUAAUAAUACUCAAUUUGCCAGCUCCUAUUUAUCAUGUUUUAAUCAAGAUGAUGCUUAUCCGUCGGCUUAUGUGCUUCAUAUCUUGAUUGCACAAAGGGACUUUUUUAUUAUACGAAAUAAGAUAAUUUUUUGUUUUAAAAGUCUUGCUAUUUUUUCUCGUACCUUUCUUUGUGGUACCAACUAAAGAUAUAUAAAACUAUUAAUCUCUGUGCAUAAUUAAUUAAUUUGUCAAAUUGUCAAGAUGCACAUUGAAUUGAGGUCUCUCCAAACUCCAACUUGAUCAGUGUCAAAUUCACCACAAUCAAAAGGGAGGAAUUGAGUCACUUUCUUCCUUUACAUUCAGAACCAAGUAGGGCACUGCAAUCACUGACUUAAUCUGUAGCCAAAAGUAUUCAGCUUUUAAGGAGAAAAGGAUCAAGAAAAUGCGAUUUUGUGAUAGAGGCAAGUUUUAACAUGGAUUGAGAUGCCAAACCACAUGUGAGGCUUUCACCAACAACAUUUUCUUGCAUUAAAAGAAUCUCUAUGGGGACAAAAGAGGCCUUAAGACUUUUUCUACUUAAAGCAUAUGGUUUUUCCAUAUGAAUAGACUAAGAACCAUUCCUAUAUGAAUAGACUCGUACAAUUGUAUUUGAGUGUCAGCUAUUUUAAUAUAUUAUUUUUUAUACAAGUGAUAUUCUACUUUAAUUUAAUCUAUAUUAUAAGAAGAGUGAUUUGAACUCAGAUGCAGAAUAAAAAGCAUAUUUUUUUUUUUUGCGAAAGAAGAGCAUAUUCAUUUUAGUCAACUUAACAAAGCCCAUAUGUGCAAUUAUUUUUCACAAUUAAACAACUCAAUUUGAGGUAGGAAUUUUCCUUAUACAAUUAAAUUGCUUGCUUUGCUGCAUGCAAUUUCAUUUCCAAAAAGUAUAUGCAUGGCCUAGCCAUUAUGUCUUUCAAAUCAACUGCUCAUCAUGGGGCAUCUUUUCAAGAAAUUAUUAAUCGUACCUAGCAUUGUCAGCAAGACGUUAGGGCUGUAAUUAUGUGAAGAGCGAUGUUUGCCAAAUCAAUUAUAUAGGGAGGACCUACUGCAAAACUACUUGUUCUUUGUUUUUUUAGGUCUGAAGUCCAUCUACUUGUUCAGUCCACGCCAAUGAAGUGUAGUCUAUCCAAAAUAGGAAGGGUGCUCCAGUUUAGACGCAAGUACUAUUUGUUUUUUUUUGGUCGAAAGGCGUAAGUACCAUGUGCAGGGUUUUGGGUUUUUCUUUGUAGACAAAAACAUUGAAGUAUCUAAAACAUAAUUGUUCUGACUAUUGAAAAAUUAGACAAAGGGGAAAUGAUUCUUAUGCCAAAAUGAAUUUCAACAUCACUUUCUACUGACAAAAUUUCAUUUGCUUGUAUCGAAGCUUUCAUUGAAAUUUAUUAAUUUUAACGAAAUUAGAAUAUGUCAUUUGUCACGUCAUUUGGUGAAUAAAAUUUAAAAAAAAUGUAGUAAGAUGCCAAGCCACAUAUAGGGAUGGCAACGGGUCGGGUAGGGGUUGGGUAUGACGAUACCAUCCCCGUUCUCGCUCUCCAUCCUCGCCCCUAUCCUUGAACCCAUUCCCGUUUAAUCGGUUUCGACGAAUCCCCAUCUCCGUCCUCAUCGGGGGACUAUCCCUCCUACCCGCCCCGAAUCCCUGAUUUUUUUUGCAUAAAAAAAAUAUUUAUCAUACAUUUUUACAUUAAAUUUUAUAUUAAAUUAUCAUUCAACACAUCCAAAUUAACUAUAAAGUUCAACUAAAAAUCACAUCAAUAUGAAAUUCCAAAGAAAAUUAGGAAGAAUUAUGGGAGGGAGGUUAACUUAGGGUUAAACAUAAAUAUUGUAAUUAUAUAUUUAUUUAUUUAAAUAUAAACAUAUAUAUUUUCGGUUCGGGUUCGGAGAUGGGGACGCCAAUACCAUCCCCUCCCCAUAUUCGUCGGGGAUUUUUCAAGUUCGGGGAUCUCCAUACCCGAUACUCGUUUGGUCUCGAAAUCUCCUCUCUUUUGGGUCGAUGAUAGGGAUGGCAACGGGUCGGGUAGGGGCUGGGUGUGAUAAUACCAUCUUCGUCCCCGCUCUUCAUCCCUGCCCCCGUCCUCGAAUUCAUCCCCGUGUAAUAGGUUUUGGGGAAUCCCUAUCCCCGUUCCAGUCGGGGGACUAUCCCCCAUACUCGCCCCAAAUCCCCAGAUUUUUUUUUUGCAUAAAAAAUAUUUAUCAUAUAUUUUAAUAUUAAAUUUCAUAUUAAAUUAUUAUUUAACACAUCCAAAUUAACUAUAAAGUUCAACUCAAUCAUUCAAAAUCACAUUAAUAUGAAAUCCCAAAGAAGAUUAGGAAGAAUUAGGAGAGGGAGGUUAACUUAGAGUUAAAUAUAAAUAUUAUAAUUAUAUAUUUAUUUAUUUAAAUAUAAACAUAUAUAUUUUCGGGUCGGGUUUGGAAAUGGAGACGCCAAUACCAUCCUCUUUCCAUACCCAUCGAGAAUUUUUCAAGUUCAGGGAUCCUGUACCCGAUACCCAUUUGGCCUCAAAAUCUCCCCCCAUUAGAAUUCGGGACCCACCCUGGCGGGGAUUUUUGCCAUCCCUAGCCACAUGUGAGGCUUUCACUAACAACGUUUUCUUGCAUUAAAAGAUUCUCUAUGGGGACAAAAGAAGCCUUAGACUUUUUCUACUUAAAGCAUAUGGUUUUUCCAUAUGAAUAGACUAAGAACCGUUCCUGUAUAAAUAGACUCGUGCAAUUGUAUUUGAGUGUCGGUUAUCUUAAUUUAUUAGUUUUUAUACAAGUGAUAUUCUACUUUAAUUUAAUCUAUAUCAUAAAAAAAGGGAUUUAAACUUGAAUGCAGAAUGGGAAGUACAUUCAUUUUAGCAAAUUUAACAAAGCUCAUAUGUGCAAUUAUUUUUUACAAUUAAACUACUCAAUUUGAUGUAGGAAUUUUCCUUAUACAAUUAAAUGCUUGCUUUGCUGCAUGCAAUUUCAUUUCAAAAAAGUAUAUGCACGGCGCAGCCAUCAUGUCUUUCAAAUCAACUUCUCACCAUAGGGCAUCUUUUCAAGAAAUUAUUAAUCGUACCUAGCAUUGUUAGCAAGACAUUAGGGCUGUAAUUAUGUGGAAAGUGAUGUUUGCCAAAUCAAUUAUAUAGGGAGGACCUACUGCAAAACGACUCUGUGUGAAACCCAUCUACUUGUUCUUUGCUUUUUUUUAGGUCUGAAGUCCAUCUACUUGUUCAGUCCACGCCAUUGUAGUCUAUCUAAAAUGGGAAGGGUGCCCCAGUUUAGGCGUAAGUACUUUUUGUUUUUUUUCGGUUGAAAGGCGUAAGUACUAUGUGCGGCGUUUUGGGUUUUUCUUUGUAGACAAAAAUAUUGAAGUAUCUAAAUCAUAAUUGUUUUGACUACUGAAAAAUGAAAAAUGCUAGCAACCUUCUUUCUAACAUUUUCUUUUGGACAUUUUCUUUUCUUUGCUUGACAUGUGUCAUUCUCCUUACACUUAAAACAAUGUCAUUAAUAUAUUAUACAAGCUAACUUUUGCUUUUCAAGUUUACCCUUAUUAAAUGUAUUUAAUUUAUUCAAAAAAAAUUCAGAACUUUCUUACAAUAUCUUAACAUUGAAGUAUCUAAAUCAUAAUUGUUUUGACUAUUGAAAAAUUAGACAAAGGGAAAAUGAUUCUUAUGCCAAAAUGAAUUUCAACAUCACUUUCGAUCGACAAAAUUUCAUUUGCUUAUAUCGAAGUUGGCAUUGAAAUUUAUUAAUUUUAAAAAAAUUAGAAUAUAUCAUCUGUCACGUCAUUUAGUGAAUAAAAUUUUUUAAAAAUCUUUCGGUGCCUCUAUAUUAUUAAGGCAUCAAAUAGUGCAAAUCAUGACAUCUUAUUUCAAUGUUCAUUAACAGACCUUCAUACAAUCAAGGCAUCGGAUGCAAGUAGGGUGGUCCCUUUCUCAACCCAAUAAUAUGAGUUCAAACAUUAUAUGUGGAACACAAUAACACUCCUUUUAAUCAUUCAAUCUAAAAGGGUAUAUGCGACAGCUGGCCAAGAGGUAUAUUCCAUGUACACAAAAUGUUACUUUCAAUUUCAACUACAUGCCAAUAUUUCUACAGCGAAAAUUCCAAUUAAACAUGCAAAAGGAAAAUGAAAUGUGAUGUGAUGUACUACCUAGGGCUCGUCAAUGAGCCGGGCUGGGUUAGCCAGGCCCAAAUUUAAUGGACUUGAGUCAGACCGGAAUUUUUUAGAAAAUUCAAAACCCAAGUCCGACCCAUGAACCGGACUUGAGAAAGUCCAUCGAACCAAGCCAAGCUAAGCCCAACAGGCAGGGCCUAAACAGGCCCUACUUCAUUAAAAAAAAUCGUAAACUUAAUCAUAAGGACAUUUUAGUCCAAAUUUGAGAUUAAACUCACUUAAUUCCAAUAUUUUCACAUCAAAUCAAAUUCAUAAAACACCCAAUAAAGUCAUACAACUUAUAAGAUUUUCCACAAAAAUAAUAAAACCAAGUAUUAUUUUUGAUGUUAUUACAUAAUUAGAUCGUAAUACGUUUUAAGAAAUAAUUUUAAAAAAUAAUAAGUAUCAAAAAAAUAUUUUUUUAAAGGAUGGUAUGAAUAAAUAUGCAAAUAUUUGGUGAUGUGUUCAAGAAAAGCAUGAUUAUAUUUGGUGGUACGAUUAUGUUUCGUGAUAUGAUUAUAUUUGGUGAUGUGAUAUGUUGUUCAUCUUAUUUAUAUAUAUAUAAUUGUUGAAUUAAUAAUUGACACAAAUUAAUGUGCUAAUCAUCCAAUUAUAAACUAGGAAUAAGUAAAUAAAAGUAAAUAAAAUGAAACAAAUUAUAUAUGUGAUUUAAGUGAUAUAAUCAUAAACCUAAACUCUUAAUUAUAUAUAAUUAUAUAUGUAUGCGGGCCUAACGGAUCGGGUUUUUGUGGGCGGGCCGGGUCGGGCUUUCUUGGGCUUAAUUGGACCGGGCCUAUGAGUCGGGCCGAGCUUUAGACACCCAAGCCCAAGCCUAGCCCGGCCUAAGGCGGGCCGGGCCAUCUCAAAGCUCAUAACGGGCCAGGCCGGGCUUUUUUUCGAUGGGCCGGGUGAGCCCCCAUCAGCCCAUGAGCCUGCGGGCCAAAUGAUGAGGCCUAGUACUACCUGUAGUGUCUAUUUGGAUAGAAAGAAGAAUAGAAAAUUCGGUAUAAGUCCAAUUCCUAUGAUAGAAUUUGGGUACAAUCCACAUAUUUGUUGUUAGUAAUUUAAGUCCUCUGACUUUUGUGCAAUGUAGGAUUACUUACCUCUUUUUUUUUUCAUUUCUAAGGUUUAUAUUUUAUUUUCUUAAUUUUUUAAUUUAUGUUGUGCUUCCAAUUUUGCCCCUAAGAUAGAAAUCAAGUAACCUAAAACAGUAAAAUAUCAAAAAUCGCGUUAAACAAUCCUCAUACGACAAGAAUAGAAAGAAUCGCAAAAAUCGUAUCUUUCACAAUCAAUUAUGGUCCUGUCAAGCCGUUUCUGUAAAUUUCAUGCUUCUUAAUUGCCGAGGGUUUUGGGUUUCAUUUUAGAGUUGAAUUUGCAUUUCGUCUUCUUCAAUUGCAGCCGGGGGAAUUUGCCGUCAUUUGGGGAUUCUCACCUUGCUUCUCCAUCAAUUGCAGUGCCUGUGUUCCAGGUACACUAUUAGAGGUUACCUAUGCCAUAGGUACACUGUUAGAGGUUGCCUUUAGCUGUGGAAUUAUGCUGCUAGAGAUGCAAUUAGCAAGGCUAAAACCAUGGAAAUAUGACUUCUAUGUACUAGCCAUAGCUGUUUGACUCGGCUAACCCAUUGCUUAUUCAUAUCAGCACGAUUAUUUAGAUAUCUAUGUCCAGUUCCCUUUUUAUACAUAUGACUUAUGUAAUGAGAAGUCUGCUAUUUGUAUUGUAGAUUAAUCUUAACUAAAAGCAUCUAAAAACCCAGCUGGAACAGCAGAAGUUCGCUCCUAACUAUUUCAUUUGGUGAUACAGUGUUUGAUGCAUGGUAUGUUAUAGGUUAUUUAUCAAAUUCAUAAAACUUUCUAAAUGUAGAAGCUUUAGAGGUGAUCGUGAUUGCGUGAAUUCAUUUGCUGUUUUUGGCUAGAGUUAUGAUUUGUACUAGCCCAAAUGUUUUGUGUGCAAAUGUCAUGAUCUGUACAUAUAUAUUGCAUUUAAUUUUUCCUCUCUCCCUCCUUCAUGUUAAUGACUUAAGAUUAUACUUGUGAGUUUUACAGUCAUGUUCUUGUUUUGUCCAAGCAGUUAUGUAAAUCUUCAUUUGUGCCUUCAUUAUUGUAGGGCCUUUUUCGUUCCGGCAACUACUGAUGGGUCUAGGAUGCUGUAAAGAGCCAAAUGUGUGAAAUUGUCCAGAGUCUAAGUUUAAGAAUCAGACCGUAAGAGUGCUUCGAAAAGGUAGCUGAGCCUUAGGAAACACCUUGGUCUUCUUCACCAAUGAAACCAACAGUUGCUUACAGAUAAAUUCUUGGCUUAGCUUGAGAAGCUUGUGGCAUGAAAGCUAAACAUUCAUGAAUUUAGCAUGAGAGAGAGAAAGUGUAACAUCUAGAAAAAAAAAAAAAAAAAGAAGAAGAAGAAACCUGUAAGCCAAACAUUCAUUAUUCCAUUCAUUCUUCCCCCUCUUCCCUUAGAUUCUCUUCAAAAAUCUGAUUUUGGGAUGAGUUGUUCAUCUAUUUGGGGUGAGUCACCUAGUCUAGGUUAAGGAUAUUAAUUUCUUAAACAAAGAUAAGAUUGGGGAUGAAGGGGAUGAAGGAAAUGAAAUUUGGGUGAGGCAGAGAAUGGAGAAUAGGGGGAAGAGAAGAAAAAAUUCUCUAAGGUGAGUCAAUUUAGAAUUUGUGAUUUUUAACUUUGUGUUUGUGUGUUUCUAGUGCCUUAAAGAGUAUUUUGAGUCAUUUGAGUGAUGGGGAAAUUGAAUUGGAAGAGUUUGAAUUUCUAUUUUUGGGUAGGGUGCGUAGAGUAAUUUUUCAAGUGUGGGUGUUUAUGAUUUCGGUUUCAUUUUGAGUUUUUUUAUGAGUUUUAAUGAUAGGUAUGAACUUUAGAAGAGUUUUAGAAGCUAUAGGAACAACUUGGAAGUGAUAGAAUGGUUAAAAACAACUUAGAACCAAAUCUGAAAAUUUGGAUUUUCUGGAAAUUUGCAGUCCUCGAGCCUUAUUUUGGCUCUAUUUUUCUCCCAAUCCUUUGAGUGUUUGAGGAAGACAUUUGUUGGGUUUUAAACUAGACUUGGCAAGGAACAAAACACAAUCGGUUUUGUGGAAUUUGGUUGAGUUUUUAUAGGUCAAACACAUGUGCAUAGUUUGGAAAACAAAUCUGUUUUCUGCAAAAAAAACAGCCACGAGUCCAACUUUGGAGCUAGUUUUCUCAUUCGUUUUAUCUCCUUUUGAGUAUGGUUUGUUGGGUUAGAAACUAGAGGAAAUAAGCUUCAAAACCACUACAAGUUUGCCCAAUUUUGUUAACGUUUGGCUGGUCAAAAUGUCUCACAAAGUCUGAAUUUUUAAUCUGGAAAAACGGGAAGUUGCAGAUUUUUAGGGAAGAUGAUGAACAGUAACCGAAAACAAGCCCACUCGCCACUAGCGGACCUAGUAAGGCGUAAGGAGGUGCAGAUGCACCUUCCCUCGCCGUAAAACCAUUGUAUGUGCUUUGCCCCUUUGCUCAACUGGUGUACAGAUUACCUUAUUUUCAUUUUCAACAUUUAAGUAAAUGUCUUUGUCCUUUUACUUUUAUAUAUUUUUAUAUUACUCAAUUUACUUAAGUUUACAAUGUAAAUAAGGAAGUACUCCCCAUUUGAAUUCAAAUAAAAAUACUAGAAAAUCAAAUUCCCACCAAAUCAAAAUAUGAAAAUUCGAUUUUAGUGCAAAAUAUGAUUUAGGCUAAAAAUGAUAGCCUAAAUCAAGUUUUCUAUUUGAUGUGUAAGGAAUAAAAGCCACCAAAAAUUAUCUUGAGAAAAUGAUUAUUCCGAAAAACCAUUUUUCAUACGUACUCAAUAUUACACCUCCGCUAAAAAAUUUCUGGGUCCGCCAGCGCCACUCGCGGCUCCAGUGAGUGGCGGCACGUGGUGGCUGUUUCGGCAGCCUCCGACGCCAUAUUUUUAGUCCAUUCGACUCGAUUUCUCAAUUUGCGUUCAAUGGUAUAUGUUUUGAGUCAAUCCAUGGUGGUGCAAAGUAUGGAUUGUUGUGGGGCCCACGAGACCCAAACUAGUAACUUUUGGAUAACGGGUGUAGUUGGCCUUUUUUCGGUAUUGACAGGGCAUAGGACAGAGUUUUAGAUUAUUUUGGACGAGAUUUGGCCUCUUUGGACCCCGGGUUGGUCCUAAGGGCAUUUUCGUCAUUUUCACGCAAAAUCUUUGAAAUGCAUAAAGUUGAGGUUGGACUUAGGUGAAAUAAAGUGAAGAUUACUCAAUAAUAAUUUGGAUUUGAAUUUGUUCAGGAAUUAGAUCAAAAGUGUAGAUUCGACAAUUCCGAGAAUCUCCGAAGGGUAAAUUUGGUACUUUAGCUAGUUGGACAUGAGGUAGGGUUUCCUGAUUCCCGAUGAUUGGGCUAUAUCCCUUUUAAUCUUGGUGCUUAUAUAUAAUACUAUAAAUAUGAAUAUUAUUGUUGCUUUACUCGGUGAAUAUUAUUUGAUGUUAUGUGAAUAUUAUUAUUGAUGUUCCUCCAUGGAUAUUAUUUUUUAUGUUGGAUGAAUAUAAUUAUUCAUGUGAUUAAGCCUAAUAUAUAUUAUUGUUAUUAUUUGUGUUAUUAUUCUGCAGAGAUAAAUGAGGUUUGCACUGCAUUACAUAUGCAUCAUAAAGAUAGUGGUGUUUGGGGGUGUGUGUGUGUCGUUUGAGGUAUAUCUAAGGGGUGGGAGAAGGCCUUAAAUAUAUCUGAGUAAUAAAAAUGUGAAAUAAAUUCAAGUGAUGGGAGUAGGACUUGAAUAUUGAGGUGAUGGGAGCAGGGCCUCUAAUGAAAAGUGAAAGUUGAGAAAUUCGUAAACAAAAGAAAACUGGGUUAAGGGAUGGAUGGGCGCUAGUUCAUAUUUUAAGGGUAUUCGGAGCCACAAUGGUAACAUGCAUGGUAUGGGACAUGCAGGCUUGUUGCCCUAAGGUAUGAAUUAGUAGGAUUAGAAGGGAGUGAGUUCAUGGCAUCACUGCAUAUGCAAAUUUAUUUAUCUAGUAUGGUUGUAUAAUUUCUGUAUCUUGUGUUGUUUGUUGUAUGACACUUUGAUUAACUAUGAUAGUUGACCUUGAGGGGUUUGACAGUACUCUAUUGGGUAUUAGAAUGCUCAUACCCUAAUAGAUUGUGCAGGAUUCAAGGUGAAGUUUGAGGAAACGGGUUUCAACCAAGCUACUAAACUUUUGUUGUUGAUUUGUGUAAUUAAUAAUUGUAAGUAGUCAACCAUUUGAUAAAGAUCUUAGUGUGUAUUUAACUACGAGCUACUGCGACUCUGAUUCUGUGUUAAGUAAAUUUGUAUUCAUUUGUGGCUCUUUUUCUCAUUAUAUCAUGAUUGUAGGAUUUUAUUCUUAUGACUAUGGUAUGACUCACACCCUGAUUCGGGAAUAUUCCUUAUUUUCGAAUCGGGUCGUGACAGAAAGACCAGGUUUUCUACGAGAAACAGAGGUUAAAGCAAAGGAUUUCGUGAGAAUUUGCUUAGGAGAACUGCAAAUUCUACUAAUCUCCACAGUAAGGCUAUUAUUAACAUUUGGAGAGUAGAAAAUUUGAGACUUCUCAAAACUUAUAACCUGGCUAGAAGCUAGGCAAAAUCUAUCAAGACAUCUGAUUGGGGGUGGUGAAAAUUCACCUAACCCGAGCACCUUUCGAAAAAACAAGCUCCGAGCAUGAAGAAUGGCAGCCGGGCUUAAGGAGUUGCAGCCAGGCUUGAGUAGCGACCGGCCUGAAGAAGUAUCACGGCCGACCUUGGAGAAGUUUGGCGGUCGGGUCUUGGAGUUUUCGAGAAGAACGGUCGGGCGUGAAGUUUGGCCACCGGGAAAGAAGUUUGGCAGCCGAGUCUCCAAGAGCUUGGCUGCCGAGUUUGCAUCAGCUGGAAGUUGGAGUGGCAGCCGGGCUUGGAGCAGCUAGAAUCUAGAAGAGCUGCAGCCGGGCUUCUAGUGGCCGAGGCCAUUGGAGCUAGAGUGGCCGGAACCCAGAGCUGGUGCUGGGCUGAAGAAAUCCGGAUUGUACUCAAUGCAAUCGGUUUGUGGCUUUGAGGAGCUGUAACAUUACAGCUGGAAAAGUAUGGUUAGAGAGAUUUUAGUUGGAGUACUCUUUAGUUUAUAUAUAUAUAUAUAUAUAUAAUAAAAGUGAGUGGCCAUUUAAUAGGGUUGGAGGUUUGAAAGUAAUUUGGGCCUUUAGAACUCAAGAGCUCAAAUCUCAUGAGGGUCAGCCCCAUAUAAUUCCAUGGAGCCCAGAGGUCCAAGCCUAAGCCACGGAAUCACGCCCAAGAUUUCCAGACGUCAGUGUGCACGUGACGGAAGGCCUCACAAAGAAAGAAAUCAAAGAGGUUGAUGACAAUUCAAAAUUUUCUAAAACGAGAGAAAAUCAAGCAACCAUAAUAUCUCUGCCAACGUGAUUCAUAGCUAGAAAGGAAAGAAUUUUAAAAGAGUUGAAAUUUGGCCAUUCAAUGGCUAGCUCAUGCCAAUGGGCACCCUAUAUAAACCUCACCAAACGAAGGUAGAAGACACACAUCAUUAGACACAUAAAUCUAUUUUUCGUCUCACACUUUUCUUUUCCUAGAUUUAGGGUUUUACUUUUCAAGCGCCUAGUGUAGCGAGUUCUUCCUUUUUUCUAGUGUAAGUUUAAAUUCUUGUUCAAUUUACAUUCCUUGUCUUUUAAAUUCUAGUUUGUUUCAAUUGCUUUACUUUUCAUUGUUAUCGCACUUUCAUUAAGUUUAAUUUCAAGUUUAAUUUAGUUUGUCGUUCUUAUUGUUCUUAUUUCUUUCUUGUUUAUUUAUCACCUUGAUAUAUUUUAUCAUACUUUAAUUCUCGUCUUUACAUUAUUUAUUUUACGCACUUUACUUUACUCAUUUAUCUUUAAAUUAUAUUUAAAUUUAAGCAGCUUUACUUUAUGCACUUGUUCUUCGUUUCAUUACGUUGACCUUCAAUCUUCAUCUUCACACACUCCACGUCCUUUGGUUGCUCACAUAAAGGCUUGACCCCGAAGUAGUGAAAGAACUUAUGCCAUGAGGAGGUUCUUUGCUCGGCCGAACAAUCGUUUGAUUAAAGUCAGAUCUCGGACACAACAUGCACUCACAUUCCAUUCAAGCCAAAUUCGUGGCUUGGUGGUAGCACGCCCUGCACUCAAAAAAGAAGAAGGACCAAAAGUUCCUUCCAUCGGCCGCCUUGGCCGAAAAGAGGGAAACAACAUUGCUUCAUCACUCUAGCCUGUCUUGUACUAGCUUUAGCAAAAAAGAGCAGAUCAUCCGCAAAACACAGGUGGGAGAUCUUAGGGCCAUUUCUAGAGAUAUUUCCUAAAAUAUGAGAAUUAUGAGAGAAUAUUUCUUUGUGGGUAUUUUCUAUGUAUUCUUCUCCUUGUAGGAGGUCAUAUUUAUAAUACAACGAAACCUGAAUGGGCAAGUAAAUAAUAAAUUCCUAAAUCUAUUUAGAGUAGGAAAUUAUGAAUUAAAGUAAAUCAAUUACAAUUAUAAUGGGAAUUCUUGGUGUGUAAGGAAAGUAAGUCAAUAGUCCAGAAGUCACGCCAACACUCCCCCUCACGUUGGUGCAUAGAUGUCGCCAAUGCCCAACUGAUCCAGUGAAUUGUGGAAUACUUUACUGAAAAUUGCCUUUGUCAAAAUAUCUGCCAAUUGAUCCUCGGAUAUUUUGACAAAGUGUCGAUCCACGAAAAGAAACUGAAACACUUUAGCCUCAAGCUUUUGUUUGAUAAAGUGUCGAUCCACCUGUGUUUUGGUGUGUAAGGAAAAUAAGUCAAUAGUCCACAAGUCACGCCAACAAUAUUGACAGCUCUCCACUCUUUCUUGACAACAGCCUCACUAAUCAUGUGAGAAAGUUUCUCAAGACACCAAAAACAAAUACGGUGACAGGGGAUCCCCCUCUGUCUCACUCCUCUUGCAGGAACAAAAGGCGGGGUAGCUUCACCAUUCACAAGAAUCUGGAACUAAACCGUGGAGACACAUUGCAUGAUCAAUUGGAUUGUAGACUUAUGAAGAUUGAUCUCUCUAAGAACAUACUCCAGAAAAUUUCAGUUCACUCUGUCAUAAGCUUUAAAGAUGUCAAUUUUCCAAGUGAUAAAACCUUUUUUCACUCAAAGAAAAAACAAACUUCCACUCUCUCUCUCUCUCUCUCUCUCUCUCUCUCUCUCUCUCUCUCUCUCUCUCUCUCUGUAUAUCAGGUUCUACAUUUCUCAGGAAGCUAUUAACUUGUUAUUAAAUGGUUCCUUGGGAUUGAUAUUCCAAAAUAGUUUAACAUCCUUUCCUGCCUUAGCAAUCAUAUUUCACACACUAAUGCAUGUUUUUCAGCGUGAUGUGGUAUUAGUUGAACUUCAAUAUUACAGAACUCUUGGUUCAUGCUCAUCACUGAACCUGAAACCUAGGAGUUUUUGUUUGGGAAUGUAACCAGGAAGAUCAAAAUAUACCAAACUUUUGCUCAUCAGGUAAAUAAAUUGUGUAGCUCUUAUUCUUGUUAUUAACUGUUAAAUUAAAAUCUCCACGUCAUCCUGUUUUUUUUUUUUUUUAACUGUUUGGUAACACCACUUUGCCAUCCAUAAACUAUAACUAUUCUUCUCCCUAAGGGAAUUUUACUAGGAAAUUAACCAUCUGGUAUGUAAAUCAUGUUUCAGAGUUCACAUUUAAACACAACCUUUAAACUUGGACAAUAAAUUAUAGGACCGUUGCCAAUGACCCGACGCCAUCUAUAACAAGUGUGGCUUGAACUGUUCUUGAAUUAGAAAGCAAAUUUAAAAAGCUCCAUUACUUAGCAUGUAAGUUAUGUUUCAGAGUUCAAUUGGAAAAAAUUAUGCUAUCGUUGGCAACUGUCCCUUGCCAUCUAUAACAAUCCAGGCUUGAACUUUUGUUGAAUUUAGGAAGCAAUUUAAUUAGCUUCACUACUCAAAAUGCAAAUUAUGUUUUUAAAUUUCAAAUUCAAACAUUAGGAAGCAAUUGAAUAAAUUAUGUGGCUGUUGCAACGGUCCCCUGCCAUAUUCGAUAUCUUCCAUUUUUAUCAUCUAUGACUUGAAAAGGCAUAACAGGGUAAUUAAGCUAACUCUAGUAUAAAUCUGCUCAAUUGUUCAAGUUAUCCAUCAUUGUGUGUUUGCUAAACCACAGCCUUAUUCAGUCGGGACAAUAAGAAAUAUGGCUGCAGCCCCUUCCCCAAGGAUGCUAAUCACUAAUAAGGGACCAUGUGUCCGCUACAUUGCUUGGACUCCACCCUUGAAUGGUUUCUGGAGGCUCAGCUUCACAGGUCAUUACAAGCACGAAUCAAAGACUGCUUCAGUCGGUUGCAUUAUGAGGGAUCACAAUGCUGUAUUUAAAGCUGCCUUUGAAUUAGGAGUGUGAGGCUCCGACAUGUCAACAUGUAUGGUAAUUUGGCUGCGAACUUGCUCGCGAGAAUUCCUUUGCAGCCUCAACAAGAGAGGUCUUGGUCCAGAACAAAUAAGUGGAAUUCUAGUGAGGGAUGUGAUCGGUCGUUGGAUACCUUUCUCAGACCUAUGAGUGAGUCAUCAUUUGGAUGACACAGAAGGACUUCGUAGACUUGUUUCUUCAAGGAAAAAUCUGUUAAGUUGCUUUUCCUUUUUGCUAAGUAGCAGUUUGCUUAGUAAUGAUUGUGAAAAGCCUUUGAUUUUUCUAAUCUCUUCCUUAAAGAAUUAAGAUGUGUGAACAUGUAACUACUAAGAACGAAAGUCAUCUGCUUAAUCUCACAUUUAAUUUUCCUUUUCUUCCUUCGUAGUUUACUUGUAUUCGCUGACCUUUCCGGUACUAACCAUGACCCCUAUCUGUCAAAACCAAGUUCAAAUAAGGGAGAAUUUUUAAGGGGAUAGAUUGAUGACUUUUGGGGGAGUUUUUUCUUAGUAAAACUUUUGUGGUUUUACUCAAUAACCAAGUUACUUUUUUUACUCGAUUUGGAUUUUUGCCUAUUUUGUCUAGAACCAAUUACGUUUGACAGGGAAACAAUUAUUAAAUAUUUCUUAGUCCAGUAGUACUUCUCUUCUCAAUAUUAAAAGAGAGUCGAAGUUUGAAUCCCUUCCCUAUAAACCAAAAAAAUGAUUAUUCCUGAAGCACUGACACUUUCUCAAGACUAAGCAUAUGAUAUGCGAAAUUACUUACUGACUAGGAUCUUGAUUUCUUAAGAACAAAAUGGAAAUUAAAAACCCAAAAAGCAAAAAAAAAAAAAAAAAAAAAAAAAAAAAAAAAAAAAAAAGAAGAAGAAAAAGUUAGCUGGGAGAUUAUCUGGGCGUUAAUAGAACCAAGCCAGUGGGCCAAAUCAAUCAUAUUAGAUUAUUUUGGGCCUGGGCCCGAUUAAAAAAGAUUUGGUCAGACACAUCACGUUUGUUUUUGGCCGUUGGACAUCAUAUUCAGAUGUUAUUAUAGUCAAAAGACUUUAAGAAAACACUAACACCCAAGCCAACGGUAACUUUCUUGUCUCUGUCUUCUCCUUCCCCUUUCUGUCUUCCCCUUUGCUGCUCCAAAUUCCAAUUAAAACCCCAAAACCAAACUUCACCAACACAAAAGUUCUUAGCUUUACAUCACAAAUGGCAUUAAAAGAAGCAGCUUCACUCACUUCACUGAAACAACAAGAACAAGAAGAAGAAGAAGAAAGAGAGAGGUUCAUAGUUUUGAGCAGCACUUGCAAAGUGGUGGAGUAUUUACAGCCAGUGAUGUCAAAAGAGCUUCUCUGCAAGUUUCCAGACAACUCUGCUUUCGAUUUUGACUACACUCAGAGUUCAAUAUGGUCCCCUUUGGUCCCUCGAGCUCAUGCUCCCAUGGAUUUGGACUUGGAUUUCGAUUUCAUGACGCCAAGGAAGCUCAAUUUCGAGAUGGGGUUGGAGUUGGAAAGUCAAAGCAGCAUCAAGAAAGUCAGUUCUAGUAUUAAGAAGAAGAUCUCCACCGCUGGAUUUAAUAUUAGCAGGAGUGCGUUGAAGAACAAGAAGAAGAAGAAGAAGAAGAAGAAGAGCAAGAUGGCAUUGGCUUCUGAUUUCUCUCCAACUCCUGUUAAGGUUCAUUGUAACCCCUUAGCCUCAAAGGUACUGCCUUUUUCAUCUGGGUUCUUAGAUCUUUCUUUUUUAUUUAUUUAUUUUAUAUACAUAUUUUUAUAAGCUGAAAGAAUCUGGGUUAGAGCACAAGGUUUAGAUCACUGAAUCUGAGAUUACCCUUUUGAGAUUUUCUCUGAAAAUGAUCUCAAUUUACAAGCUAUUUGAAGUAAAAAUAUGAAAUUUUUGGGGAAAGAGAUGAGAAUUUAAGGCAACCCAUAAAGAUGCAGUUGUUAGCAUCAAAGUUUUGGGAAUUUGUUUUCUGCUUUAGCGCCAAUUUCUCUGUUUUGCAGGGGAAGAACUUAGAACUAAAAUCAAUCUGGUGACUGGAUUUCUAACAUAUGAAGGUUCUGUCAUUUGUGUUCAG